AAGUGGGUAGCUCAGUGGUAGAGCACGAUAAUAAGAUAAUGUGUCGAGUACUUUAGUGACACUUACAGCAAUUUUUCUUUUUUGCAUUUUAAGCACGAUGUCGUAGGUUCGAGUCCUGCCCCACUUG
rnacentral:tRNA from 1 species